UCCUGAGCGGUGGUUAGACGUACCGGGAAAAUCUUAUCUGAUUCUGGAUCGGUUACACUCCCCUGUCACCAGUGAUCCUUUUUUGCUGACAUUCUGAAAAAGUAUUGUGUAGUCCCUGUGGCAAGAACAUUAAAGAUAAAGGGGAAACUAUAAACAGAAGAUAUUAUCAACAAAAUAAGAUUUACAGAGGUCAACAAAGCCUAAAUGGUCAGACAUCUUGAUUUUCAUGGUCAUCAUUCACAGAUCAAUACUGAACAGAAAACUUAAAGCUGAUAUUUUUCUCCAUAGUGCGACUUUUUUAUUAAUUUGAAAUGGAACGUGUUUUUUCCUACAUUUAUUUGAAAGAGGAAAUUUCAACAUGAUGACAAUAAACAAAAAGGAGUCAUAUCAUCACGAUCAUUGAUGCACAAGAACUUGAUCAUAUAAAUACAACAAUGUAAUUAUCAAUUGAAAGAUGGAACCAAUGAACAAAAUAUUAGAAUGUUGUUGUCCAACUAAACUUGCUUUGUUUUCUCAUUUGAAUAUCUCCAUUCAAUAAAGAUGUACAGAGGAAU